GUCAGAAAGGUUGCAGAUCUGGCCCUGAGCCUGCUCCUAUUACAGUGAAGAGACUAAUCUCUCUCUCUCUCUGGAAGGGUCCUUGAGGAUCAUUGACAGGAGAGGCUUUUGAGGUGCUUUCGAACAUCAGAAGACUCAUCCAAAAAUGAGUUGGCCUAGGAGCACCAAUUAGUCCAAAUUGGAUCUGGAUCAGAUGGCAGCAAUCCAGGCCAAGCAGUCGCUCUCAGGCCGCAGGGACAAACCCUCCUCCAAAGUGCAGAGGGCACCAUGACUUCUGGAUUCUGCUUCCCUGUGCUGAAAACUCGGAGGAACAGCUUCUUAUUUGGUGAGCAUCUCCUUGGAGCAGACAAGGACAGAUUCCCUGGUGCUCCUUUCGGGGACGAGCCGGAGUCUCGCGGUGCCUCGGAGAUGAGGACACACGUGCUGUUUUCUCAAGCCUGCCUUUCCGGUGACCGACACUUGAGAGCAGAAGCACUGGCCGCACUUUUGAUGGAACCCCGCUACGACACUCACGAAAGACAACUUCGGUAACCGCUCAGAGGGCGGCGAG
rnacentral:lncRNA from 1 species